UUUUGUCUGACUUAACGUCUCAUGGCAUUUACUCUGUAAUGACUGAGUUGGAAUUACUUAAAAAGAUCCAUGCAAAUUGUUAAAUUUAAUUUUUUUUUUUAAGUUGAGCCAGUGUAUUCUUCUUUU